UCAUUUAAAAAAAUUAAAAAAUUUUAAAAAUGAGCUGUAUUUUGAAAUAUGGCACUUGUAUGAGAUGAGUUCAGGACAUUUUUUUAAAUGGUAUUGGUAAAAAUGGACCUGUAUUUUGGCGUGGGGGUAGUUAGAUUCUUACAUCAUACUCAAAAAGUAACAAUCUAAACAUUAAAACUGUAAAAGCACCAGAAGAAAGUAUUUUGGAAGUCAUAAGGAAAAUGUUGGUUGAUUUAAUUACUUAAAAAAAUGUUAAAUUUUGGUACAGUAAAAGUCACCUUAAAAUUUGAAAAUAAGCCACAGAUUGGGGAAAAUAUUUGCAGUAUGCAUAAUAGGUUGAUAUCUCUGGUAAGCAGGAUAAUAUUCCUUCCAAGAUGUUCACAUCCUAAUCCCUGUAACCUGUGAAUAUAUUAUUUUACAUGGUAAAGGAAUUAAAAGUUGCAGAUAGAAUUAAGAUUGCUAACCUUAAAACAGGAGGACUUUAAGAUAGGAAGAUUAUCUUGGAUUAUUCAGAUGGACCAAAUGUAAUUACUAGCAUCCUUAAAAUUGGAAGAGGGAGGCAGAAGAGUGAUGUGAUAAGAACUUGACUUGCCUUUGCUGGCUUUGAAGAUGAAGAGGGCCAGUAGCCAGUGAAUGUGGGCAGCCUCUAGAAAGUGGAAGAAGACAAGGAAUGGAUCUCAGUGCCUACAGAAAGGAUUGCAGCCCUGCCAACCUUGAUUUCAGCUCAGUGGGACAUGUCAGACUUCUGACAAUUUGUUGUUUUGUGGUAAUUUGUUAUGGCAGCAGUAGAAAAAUGGAUAAAUAUAAACAGGCAAUUAUAGAAGAAAUCCAGAUGGCUACUAAACAUGUGAAAAAGCAUUUGUUUUUGUGGUCCUGGGAAUGGAUGAACUCACCUAGGGAGAGAAAGAGCAGAGGGCUGAGAAGAAAUGGUUCAACGUGUAGAGAACUUAGGGAUCAAAUGGGUGAAGAAGGGGACUUAUACCCAGGACCAAGAACAGCUGCCUGGACUCAGACUAAUUGUGUCCAUGUGAAUAGAUGUAUUUUUUUCUGUUCAUUCGAUGUGAAGUUUUUCUCAAGAGCAACAUUGGACUGUGUUCCCCUGGUCUCCUUACAGGCUUACCCUGUAGAACAGGGAUGUGUGGAUUCCAGGAUGAUCGUCUGUGAAGGGCUUGAGAAGUUAAGCCUACAAAAUCCUGAUGGAAUAUAGCUAUAGUAGAAGUUAAUAGGGAACUGACAUUCCCAGUCUGCCAGACUCCAAAGACGACAUGAGUGGAAUUUAUCUAGUUCACCUAGUUUAUUAGGAUUUCCUCUGUCUCCCUACCCCACAACUGGUUUGGCUUUAGGUCUUGUGGUAUUGGGUGCCAGUGCUACCAGCCUUUCCUUUGCUUAUUGGAUUUGGUGGGCAGGGGCCAUGGGUACCUAGAAACUUGGCUAACAUUCUUGGGAGACCCCUCGUAAGGGGAACCUGAGGUGUGGGGGAGGAGAGAUGCUUUUCCAUAUGGGCCCAGGGGCAGUGGUUAGAGUGUUGAGGGGUCAAGAUGUCACCAGCUCCCAGCCCUGCCCCUUGAUGAAUUUGGGGACCUGCUGCCUUAGAGUGAAGCUGCUGAGGGAGAGCAGCAGUGUGUUGAGAGCUCUGGUCCUUGUGCUGAGAUCUUUGGGAAAGUCUGCUUAAAGAGGCUUCCUUUACUCUUCCAACCUGGGCUGGGUGGCUCUUCCCCAUAACUGUGGAUGACUCCAGUCUUACAUCCCCUCCUCUGUGGUCUCCUGCUUUGGGUUUCCUGGGGCUCUCUCUCUUCUUGGCUGAAGAUAGGGCUGAAGCCUUGUUUCUUUUGCCUGAGGCUGGGACCUUAGGGUUUGAGGGCUCGCCCAGGCCUGGGCAGUUCUCACCAGCCUCCAUGAGAAUACGUGGCUCUUGGGAUGAGAUCUGGGCCACCAUCUUCACUUUCAUUCUUUCUUCUCUCUGAGACCCUUGUUCUGCCCUGCUAGACUCUUGUGGCUGAGGCUGGGAAGAAGAGUGGGAGUGGUAACAAUGGGAGACCUGAAUAGGUUGAGUUACUGUGCUCUGAACUUUUGGGGGAUGACAGCUUGAAGAGUGGGGGCACAAAUUAGAGGGAUGAAUCUGCUGUGGGGGACAGGAAGAGAGUCUCCAGGUGCCUAGGGUUGUGGAGCUUAGGGCAGUGGAGCUGCCAGAUGAAUGACUUGGGUCAGGGGAUCUGAAAGCAGGGCUUUGCUGUAGUUUUUUCAGCCUGAGUUCCAACUCUCUACUCCAGUGCCAGGCCUGGAUCCCAGAGUGGGUGGGCACCUCUGGGACAGCCCCUCCCUGGAAGGAUGGAGUUUCUACUUUAGCCCCUGGGAAGAGCUCUUUCUUAGGUAGAUCAAGCUGGUUGGGCUCAGUUUUCAGAGUUUUACCUAAGGUGGAAGGCCAGGGUAUUGGCUCUAGGGGAUCCACUGCUGGAGGGUUGGACCCCUGGGGGAUACCUCUUGGUUGCACAUUCUUCCACACAAACUCAAGGUCAGUAUGUAGAUCUGGUAGAGGAGCAGAGACUGAGUUGGUGGUUGGGGCUGGGAGCUCAGUGGCCCAGCAGUUGUCUCUCUGCUCCACAGCUUCCCCUUUAGGCUUACAGGUACAUUGGUCUCCAGUAGGCUCACUUAUGGGAGACUUUGACAUAGAGUUUGGAGGUUGGCUGGGAAUCCACAGUGGGGAUACAGGAAUACAACAGAUCUUUUUCUGCUCCUUAUCCUCCACAAUAGGCUCAGAGUCAGACAGGGCUCCCAAGGAUCUGACUCCAUGUGGGUCUUGAGGUAAGCUGUGAGCCGGGAUCUCAGAGGUCCAGGAGUUCUUUCUCCUUUUUAUGUCCCCACAUGUAGCCUCAGAAUCAAACAGGACCCCCAUGGGGCUACCUCUGAGGGGCUCCAUUGUAAGAGCUGGAGGUGAGCUGAGGGCCAGAGAUGGGGGCUCAGGAGCCCAGGAAUUCCUAGAAUACUCAAUGUCUUUCCAUGCAGUUUCUGAUCUAGUGAGGCCUCCCCUAGGAUUGAUUCUGUGGAGUUCUAGAAUGGGAGCUAGAGAUGGGCUAUGGGCAAGGUCUGGGGACUCAGAGGUCCAGAGGUUCUUUCUUUGUCCCUUGGUCUCCCACAUGGCUUUGUACUCAGACAAGACUCCUUGGGGACUCAGAGAGGAUGAGGGAAGACUGGGAGAAGAAACUGGGUCUGCAGAGAUCCAAAGAUGUUCUCUACUCUGCCUGUCCUUCCAUGGAGUGUGAGAUCUUGGUGGGACACAUGCAGGACUAGUUGCAUAGAGCUCUGGGUUGAGGUCCAAGGCUGGAGAUUUAAAGGCCCAAACGUUUCCUGAAUCUUGUCUGUGUCCUCCCUGGAGCUUAUAUCCAGAUGGAUCACCCAGAGAACUGUCUCCCUGGAGUUCUAGCAGAGGAUCUAGGGGAUGGCAGGGGCAUGGCAUUGGAGACCUAGAGGUCUGAGAACUCUCUCUCUGACUUAUGGUUCCCCAGAAGUCCUUAGGUGCAGAAAGUCCUUCAGGGAUGACUUUCUGGAAUUCUGACAGAGAAUCUGGGGGUUGGCAGGGAGCUGGCAUUGGAGGCUCAAAGGCUUGAGGACUCUCUCUAUGUCCUAUGGUUCUCCACUGAGUCUUAGAUCCAGGUGGAACUCCCAGGGGGCUUGUUCCUUGAGGCUCUGUCAUGGGGUCUACAGAUUGGCAAGGGACCAGGAUUGAAGGCUCAGAGAUCUGAGGAUACUGUCUUUGCCUUGUAGUUUCCCAGAGAGCCUUAGAUCCAGGCAGCUCUUCUGUAGGGCCGACUUCUUGAAGUUCUGGCAGGGAGGCUGGAGUUGGGCUGGGAGCUGGCAUUGCUGGCACAGAGGCUUUGGGAGCCUCAUUUUGCCCCAUAGUCCUCCAUGGGGCCUCAAACCUUGUCAGGACUGCCAGAAGGCUAGAAGGAUAUAGCAGAGAGGCAGAGAGUGAAUCUAGAAUGUGUUGUUGGAGGCUGGGAUCCCGUGGCAUACUCCACCAGACCUCAGAUGGUGGGGAAAGCUUGGAGGGUCUGGUUCUUUGGAGUUUAGGCUGUAGGUGCAGGGCUUGAUCCUCAGAGACCCAAGGGACCUCACUAUGCUGCAUAAGCCACUGUGGAUAUGCCUUAGCACCAGAUAGGACUCCCUUGUGGUCCAUGGGAAAGGACUUAAGAUGGAGUGGUGAUGAUGGGACAGAAGGGGAUGAUAGAGGAGGAAGUUGCUGAGGAUCGAGGGCCAUCCCUUCCACAUCUUCUCUAGUAUGGAUUUCAUGAGUAGGUGGCUGAGUUGGGGAGCAGUACUGGGGAAGCAGCAGGUUGGACCUAGUCAGGAAGGCAAGCUGGUUGAAGAAAACAGAAGGGCCAAUAGACAGCUUUAGGGGAGAGGGGGCACCUGAGCUCAGGAAUAUGGCCUCCACCGACUCACUGUGCAGAGAGGGGAGACCCCAGAAGAGCUGGCUUUUUCUCUGAUGUAGAUAACUUCCUGUUGCUGUUUUGUGCCUCACAGGCAAGUUGGUCAGGAUCUGAAAUGUGGGGAAGGAUCUGGAAGGGCUUGGGGUCUGUGUAUGUACUUGCUUUGGUGCCUCUGAGGCUUUGUGGAGGCCCUGAGAACUGCGGGAUUGUUGACAUGGGACUGUGGUGGCUUGUCCUCCAAUGGGAGCUUCUUUGGGAAAAGAACAUGGCUUUAGUGGAUCCAGAGAUGCCUCCUCUUCUUCCUCCUCUGACUUCUGCUUCCACAGGUGAUCAAGCAGAAGUGGUAGGCUCUGAGGAAUGGAGAAAGAUACUUCAGGCAUGAAGCCUUUUCAGAGACGCAAGGCUCUGGCUUCAGGCAUGAAGCCCUCAAUCUCUGUUCCACAUCCAGAGGGAAGUUACUUACUUGGCCCCACAUCUGUGGUCAAUAGUCACUUACCUAUCUGGUGUUAAUGGCCAUUACCUAGCCCAUAUUUGGAGAUCAGCAUUCCCUUACAUAACUGUACAUCUAGGGUCAGUAAUCACCCACCUGGCUUCAAAUCUGGUGUUAAUAAUGGUCAUUCAUCCAGCCUCACAUUUAAGGCUUAUAGUCAGUCAGUCAUUCACUUGUGCUUACAUCCAUGUCAAUGAUUUUUCACCUGAACUCACAUGUGGUGUCAAGAGUCAUUCACCCAGCUGCACAUCCAUGUCACCCACCUUGCCUUGCAUCAUGUCUCCAGAGUACCACAGUUGAAACUGUCGCCACCUCCCAAGCUGCCACCAUCUCUGGAUCUGCCAAAUCAUGAAUAAGAAUAGUGUCACCAGAUUCCCUGGGCUCUGGAGGCAGUUGCUGCCACAGUGUCUACAGGCCAGGGCAUGGGUCAACUGGCCCCAGAGAAGCUCCAUGUCCCCUUCAGCCCCAAGGAGGCCUUCUAUCCACCAUUCCAUUUUCCUCCACCUAGUGGCAGUUUACCCUGAGGUCAUCACUGCAUCACAGAACAAAGAACUCCCAUCCCCCCAUGCCUAACAGCAUUUUCCCUGAAUUUAGAGCCAAAAAAUUGCCUCUACCAGGCAACUAGUACUUUGUGACAGUGAAACCUGAGUGAUUCCUUUUUGUCUUGAUUUCCAGUGCCAGAAUUAUGCUUUAGGCCUUGUCAUUAGGACAUGGAUUCUAACAUCAAACUGCCUUAUUAAAAUCCUGGUUCUGCCACUUCCUGUUUGUGAAAUCUCAAACUAUUUAAUCUUCUAGUGCCUCAGUUUCCUCACCUGUAAAAUGGGGAUGAUAUUAUUCCUUAUCACAAGGUUGUUUUGAAGGUUAAAUGAAUAAAUUCAUAUGAUUAGGAUAGUACAUAGUAUAUGUUAUAUUAAAAUUUAUUUCUUUUAAGGUUUCUGAUUACAAGCCAUGUUCUAUCUUUAAUAUAUCAAGUCUGUCCUCCCUGCCCCCCCUCCACUCUUACUCUCAUGUCAGCUAUGAACUGUCUUAUUUGACUUUAGGUUGUUUGAGAUCUUUUUGGCAAGCAUUUAUGUUAAGGAUGCCAGAUCAAAUGCUCUUGACCAUUUUUCUUCAUUUGCCCCUCUUUCUCUUAAAGCCAGUACUGUGUUCCACGUCAGCUCUUUCUUUUAUUUUUUUAUUUUUAUUUAAAAAAUUAAGUUUAUUUAUUUUGAAGGAGAAAGGAAGCAGAGGAAGGGCAGAGAGAGAGAGGGAGAGAGAAUCCCAAGCAAAUUACACACUGUCAGCACAGAGCCCAAUGGCAGAGCUUGAUUUCAUGAACUGUGAGAUCAUGACCUGAGCUGAAAUCAAGAGUCGGAUGUUUAACUGACUGUGCUACCAGGUACCCCACACAUCAUUUCUUUCUUUUAAGGCCAAACUUUAAUCUCUGCCAUCUCAGUACAAUUUAAUGCCUCUCUUCUCAUCCCACCCCCAUCAAAGGUCAGCUUAGUCUGGAAGAAAGAGUAUGGAGCUGAAAUUAAAGAGAUGGGUUCUCUAAAAUAAUGUCACUGAUAGGCUAUGUGAUUUUGGGCAAGAAAGAUUUCUCCCAUAGGUAUCAUGAGUUGGAUUAGAUUCAUUCAUUCAUUCUAAUGAGUGCUUACUAUAGAUCAGGUAUUGUGCUCAGUUUUGAGGAGAUAGAAAUAGGACAGAGUCUGCACUAAAGUAGGUCCCAUUUCAGUGUGUGCAUGUGUGUGUAUGGCAAACAGUCAACUAAUAGACAAUUAAAAUAGAAAUAUGCACAGAGUACUAUGGGGGCAGAGGAGGAUAUCUAAUCAGCCUGGAGAAGGAGGUUGCUUGUCAGAUGCUGCUUCCCGGAAGAGGUGAUUAAUAACUUGGUUUGAGGAACCAAGAAAAUGAAAGUAUAUGGAACAAGAGGAGGACAAUUCAAGCAGGAGGAACAGCUUGUGUAAAGGUGCUAGGUCAGGUAAAGCAUGUAUCAUUAGGGAAAUUGAAGGUAUUCCAAUGUGUGGAGGUUGGGGAAGCAGUAAGAGAUGGACCUGGAAAGGUAAAUAAGAUCAUAAAGGGGCCUCAAUAUCAGUCUGAAAAACAAAUUUAUCCUGAAGAUGAUGGGAAAUCAUUGAAAAGAUUUGAGCAGGAAAGUGACAAGAUCAAGUGUGUGUCUUGGAAAGAAUACUGACUCUAGUGAGGGCAAAGAGAUUAAGGCAAGAAAUUAGUUAGGGAACUUAUGCUUUAGUAUAGGCAAAACAUAUGAUGAGGUCUAAAUCAAGGCAGUGAAGGUAAGAAUGGAGUAUAAUGAAUUCAAGUAGGAUUCCAAAGAUAUAAUUGAUUAGACGUCAUUACCAAUGGGAUGGGGUGGAGGAGAGUGGGAGUUGAGAAUGACUCUAGGUUUCUAACUUGGAAAACUGAAUGUGUAUGUUAGUGCCAUUUUACUGUGGUAGAGAACACAGACCUUGGAACCAGUUUAGGGCUGGGUGGGGAGAGGGUGAUAGACUCCAUUUAGAUAUUUGACUGUGGCAAGAAAAAAACUAGGCAGGAGGCAACUAGAUACAUAGAUCUGAAGUUUGGAAAAGCAGUCCAUGGUGAAGAUGUAAAAUUUGAUAGCAGCAUAUAUGUAACAGCCGAAACAAUUAAAGGGCUUAAAAAUGACCUACUGAUAUGUAACAUUUGGCUCACUGUGGCCAGCAUUAAAAACUGGAGUAGUCAAAGCUGUAAAACAAGUAGAUUGUACAUAAUAAUCAAUAUUUCAAGUUUAAAAUAUGAUAGCACUAGACUCUCAUUUCCACAAAGUAAAGGCCAUUUAGAGGUAAGUAACAGUGGCUUCCCUUGGAAUGUAUGUCUGCUUUUCAAUGCACCAUGGUUCUUACCAUGUUCUUAUUGUUAAUGCCAGGACUAAGGGCUAGUUGCUGUUUUUUCAUUGUGCCUAUGAUUUUGUUUUCUUACAUUUGUCCAUUUUUACUCAUUUGUAUUACCUGCCUGGUAUUUGAGUUUGCUACCUCUGGAUGAAGAAGGUAAGUUGAGUCCUAAUGGGAAACAGAGAAAGCAAUAUUAAAUACUUAUUCUGUGUUAGCUAAUGUACAUAUAUGGCAGGAUAGUUUACCAAGUUAUUAAUUGUUGUCUCCUUGCUCCUUUGCCAAAGGAGACAUCCUGUAGUAUAAAAAGGUAACUUUGCUCACCUGUCUUGCAAGAAUUCUAGGAUGUCUUUCCCAUGGAAUUGGUAAUAUGUUUUCUAGACCCAAACCAAAGUUUCAAGACACCUAGUCUACAACCUUAUCCAAGCUCUUGUGUGGGAAGGGAAUUUAAUUUAGCUGAGUGUUCUUGAGAAGAAGAUGGAGGAUGAUUGAAAGGAGGAAUUGCCCAAGGAUAGAAGUGUAUUCAGGAAUUGAGAAAAGAGAUGUAGUGAUGGGUUCCAUGAGUGACAGGAUCUAUAUAGAAGUCCACUAGGAGGCAGCAGGACUUCUGAUGGGGAAACUUGAUUUAAUGGUUAGGGCACUAAACAUCUAGCAUAUGGUCUUGGGAACUGCAGCAAAAGAUGCUAGUUUGCAUACCUGGCAGAGACGCUGUGGAGCCACCCUGCCUCUGAAUCGUCAUAUGGGUUUAUACAAUGCACAUCCACGUGGCAACCAGGACAGAAUCAAGACCCAAGUUUCUUUUCUAAGUGGGUUUUUGGUGUUUUUUUUUGAGGGGGAUUAUUUUCUUAGUCACUGUAUACCAUGCUAAAGAGGAAAAAAGCCCCCCCAUCAUGAUUUAAUAUUGGAUGUCUUCCGACUCCAGUAAAUGAGAUUUUUUAACCAGAUUUAACUUUGAAAAAUUAAGUAAUGUGAUGUUUCCUGCUCUUCAAUGUUGUGGAACUAAUUUAUACUCUGACAUUUACUACUCCAUUUAAUCUUUACAACUCUUUGAAGUAGGUAUUGUUAUCUUUUUUCACAUAAACAAACUGAGGCACAGAGAGGUUAAUAUAUAUUAACUAUAUAAUAUACAUAGAUAAGUUAACUAAUAAAUAUACAUAGAGCCCAAGUUUGAGAACUCUGGGGAAUCAUGUGGAUAUUAGUGACAGAAAAUAAAAUGCAAUGGGAAAUAUAUUGGCUCAUAACUGAACCAUCCAGGAUUAGAGCUGGCCAGCUUUAGGUAGUAGGGUUGAUGCAGGGACUCAAUGCAAUGCUAUCAGCAUUCAGUUUCUACUUCUUGGCUCUCUGUCUUCUGUGCUGACUUUAUUCUUCAGUUUUGUGUCAUAGCAGGUUCAAGUGAAGCUGACAAUGUGUGGUGUUGUUCUGACAACAUUGUGCCUGUGGGUUCCAGUUGGUCAUGUAUCCAUCCCCAAACUACUCACUGAACUGCUCACGGGAACAGAAUGCUUCUUCUGACAGGUUGGAGUCAUACUCUACCUGCACAUGGACUGAGACUGAAGAAGCAGGGAUGUGGUAGUUCCUACAAAGGAAACAAACAUACUGUUUUCAGAAAAGUGUGUGCAUGCUGGUAUCAUAACAAAAUAAAACAGAUGUCCACCAGA